CCGUGCGUUUUUUCUGCCUCCGGCACCUUCUCCCCGGAGCCUCCUUGAUUGGAAGGAUUUGCGAAUAACUCCCUCCACCAGGCGCCAGAAGCCCUCACAAUUAACGGGCCUGGCACCUCUUUCUAUUUAAACCUGAACUAUUUAGCUAUAUAUUCUACACUUGAUUGGCCCUUCUCCAGCAAAAAAG